GUGUCAGCAGCCGCGGUAAGACGAGGGAUCCUAGCGUUGUUCGGAAUCAUUGGGCGUAAAGCGUGUGUAGGCUGCCAUACAAGUCAGUUGUGAAAGCCCCGGGCUCAACCCGGGAAGUGCUUCUGAGACUGUUUGGCUUGAGUACUGGAGAGGAUAGUGGAAUUCCUGGUGUAGUGGUGAAAUACGUAGAUAUCAGGAGGAACACCGGUGGCGAAGGCGGCUAUCUGGCCAUGUACUGACGCUGAGACACGAAAGCGUGGGGAGCAAACAGGAUUAGAUACCCUAGUAGUCC
rnacentral:rRNA from 1 species